rnacentral:lncRNA from 1 species
AUUUCAUAGCAAUUACGCAAUAUUUCUUCGCAAUGGAAAAUCUCAAGUGGAUAGUUACUGCCACUCGUGCAAAGAUCUGAUCAAUCUGAUGGGCUGCCUCUGCCUGCUACAAUUUUUGUGUCGGCUUCCCCCUUAUACCAUGAAGCAACUCGUCUUCUUUCGGCUAUGGGAUAAGGAUUAUAUAUUGCACGUGCACAUGAACACAUAUAACGACAAGGCAAAAUAAUUAAAUUUUAAGGUUGUUUAUAUGUGUGAUAGAGGCGGGACUAAUGAAAAGAGAAGGGAGGCAAUCUUACGACUUUGAAUUCGCCCAUUUUUUUAGACAUUUGCCACCGUAUUUUUUGAAGCUUGCCC